CCUACGGGAGGCAGCAGUGGGGAAUCUUGCGCAAUGGGCGAAAGCCUGACGCAGCCAUGCCGCGUGGAUGAUGAAGGUCUUAGGAUUGUAAAAUCCUUUCACCGGUGAAGAUAAUGACUGUAGCCGGAGAAGAAGCCCCGGCUAACUUCGUGCCAGCAGCCGCGGUAAUACGAAGGGGGCUAGCGUUGCUCGGAAUUACUGGGCGUAAAGGGAGCGUAGGCGGACAUUUAAGUCAGAGGUGAAAUCCCGGAGCUUAACUUCGGAACUGCCUUUGAUACUGGGUGUCUUGAGUGUGAGAGAGGUAUGUGGAACUCCGAGUGUAGAGGUGAAAUUCGUAGAUAUUCGGAAGAACACCAGUGGCGAAGGCGACAUACUGGCUCAUUACUGACGCUGAGGCUCGAAAGCGUGGGGAGCAAACAGGAUUAGAUACCCUGGUAGUCCACGCCGUAAACGAUGAUUGCUAGUUGUCGGGAAGCUUGCUUCUCGGUGACGCNGCUACGCAUAGACANCCGCCGUGGGAGGUACGGUCGCGAGAGUAAACUACGAAGAAGUUAGUAGCGUUGAGACGNGCCGACGGACGACGACGAGGGAGGAGG
rnacentral:rRNA from 1 species